GAGGUUGUGGCUCAGUGGUAGAGCACUCUCCUAGCAAGUGUGAGGUUCUGCGUUCGAUCCUCAGCACCACA
rfam:Ictidomys tridecemlineatus contig072912, whole genome shotgun sequence.